UACGUAGGGCGCAAGCGUUGUCCGGAAUUAUUGGGCGUAAAGAGCUCGUAGGUGGUUUGUUACGUCUGCUGUGAAAACCUAGGGCUUAACCCUGGGCCUGCAGUGGAUACGGGCAGACUAGAGGUAGGUAGGGGAGAAUGGAAUUCCCGGUGUAGCGGUGAAAUGCGCAGAUAUUGGGAGGAACACCGGUGGCGAAGGCGGUUCUCUGGGCCUUACCUGACACUGAGGAGCGAAAGCGUGGGGAGCGAACAGG
rnacentral:rRNA from 1 species